UACGGAGGGUGCAAGCGUUAUCCGGAUUCACUGGGUUUAAAGGGCGCGUAGGCGGGCAGGUAAGUCCGUGGUGAAAUCUCUGAGCUUAACUCAGAAACUGCCAUGGAUACUAUUUGUCUUGAAUGUUGUGGAGGUAAGCGGAAUAUGUCAUGUAGCGGUGAAAUGCUUAGAUAUGACAUAGAACACCCAUUGCGAAGGCAGCUUACUACACAAAUAUUGACACUGAGGCACGAAAGCGUGGGGAUCAAACAGG
rnacentral:rRNA from 1 species